GUUCAAGUCUAUUUUUGUCAAGACCCAACUUCGGUUUAAUUGGCUCAACGUUUCCUCACCUUGGCCCAGAUAUGUGUUUCCUUUUAUUUUA
rnacentral:sRNA from 1 species